GACGAACGCUGGCGGCGUGCUUAACACAUGCCAGUCGUACGGUAAGGCCCUUUCGGGGGUCCACGAGUGGCGAACGGGUGAGUAACACGUGAGUAACCUGCCCACAACUUUGGGAUAACGCUAGGAAACUGGUGCUAAUACUGGAUAUGUGCUCCUGCUGCAUGGUGGGGGUUGGAAAGCUCCGGAGGUUGUGGAUGGACUCGCGGCCUAUCAGCUUGUUGGUGGGGUAGUGGCCUACCAAGGCGGCGACGGGUAGCCGGCCUGAGAGGGUGACCGGCCACAGUGGGACUGAGAUACGGCCCAGACUCCUACGGGAGGCAGCAGUGGGGAAUAUUGCACAAUGGGCGCAAGCCUGAUGCAGCAACGCCGCGUGCGGGAGGACGGCCUUCGGGUUGUAAACCGCGUUCAGCAGGGACGAAGCUUUUUGUGACGGUACCUGCAGAAGAAGCACCGGCUAACUACGUG
rnacentral:rRNA from 1 species